rnacentral:rRNA from 1 species
UGGGGAAUAUUGCACAAUGGGCGAAAGCCUGAUGCAGCGACGCCGCGUGAGGGAUGACGGCCUUCGGGUUGUAAACCUCUUUCAGUAGGGAAGAAGCUUUUUGUGACGGUACCUGCAGAAGAAGCGCCGGCUAACUAUGUGCCAGCAGCCGCGGUAAUACAUAGGGCGCAAGCGUUAUCCGGAAUUAUUGGGCGUAAAGAGCUCGUAGGCGGUUUGUCGCGUCUGUCGUGAAAGUCCGGGGCUUAACCCCGGAUCUGCGGUGGGUACGGGCAGACUAGAGUGCAGUAGGGGAGACUGGAAUUCCUGGUGUAGCGGUGAAAUGCGCAGAUAUCAGGAGGAACACCGAUGGCGAAGGCAGGUCUCUGGGCUGUAACUGACGCUGAGGAGCGAAAGCAUGGGGAGCGAACAGG